GAUGAAGAACGUAGCGAAAUGCGAUAAGUAAUGCGAAUUGCAGAAUUCAGUGAAUCAUCGAAUCUUUGAACGCACAUUGCGCCCGCUAGUAUUCUGGCGGGCAUGCCUGUCCGAGCGUCAUUUCAACCCUCAAGCCCCCGGGCUUGGUGUUGGGGAUCGGCGAGCCUCCGCGCCCGCCGUCCCCUAAAUCUAGUGGCGGUCUCGCUGUAGCUUCCUCUGCGUAGUAGCACACCUCGCACUGGGAAACAGCGCGGCCACGCCGUUAAACCCCCAACUUCUGAACGUUUGACCUCGGAUCAGGUAGGAAUACCCGCUGAACUUAAGCAUAUCAAUAAGCGGAGGA
rnacentral:misc_RNA from 1 species